CAUCCUUGGCACUACUCCCAAUACCAAUGUGGAUUAGCCCACCUAACACAUCAACACAUGCUCCUAACUUAAGAGUAUCAAUGGGGCAAGUUUCCUGCUUUGGUGGUGGAGGUGGACAUGGCACCGGAGGGGGUGGAGGAGGAGGGCAUGGGGUUUCUGGGGUUGGUGGCUUCGUAGGUGGGGUGAUCACUGGUGGCUUAGGCGGUAGGGUUGGUGGUGUAGGAGGUUUUAUAGGCGGAGUUACCACAGGAGGUUUAGGAAUAUACGGUGGUGACGAUGGUGGUGUUACAGGCGGAUUUGGUGGGUAAACAAUAGGUGGUUUUGGUACAAAAGGUGGUGGGUUCACUACAGGAGGUUUUGGUACAAAAGGUGGUGGGUUCACUACAGGAGGUUUUGGUACAAAAGGUGGUGGGUUCACUACAGGAGGUUUUGGUAUAUAGGGAGGACGAACGAUCGGAGGUUUGGGAAUGGUGGGUGGUUUGACAAUGGGUGGUUUAGGGACAUGGGGAGGUUUGGGAUGGGGUGGCUUGACAUGAGGAGGCUGUUUUGGUGGUUUAGGGUGAAAGGGUGGCUUUACUUUUGGAGGGUGUCUCGGUGGGUAUUUAGGAGGAUGCCCGGGCGGUGGCUUAGAGGGUGGAGUUGGGUAUGGACAGUAAGGGCAAGCAAGAGAAGUGAGCAAAGUGCCCAAGUUUAGAA
rnacentral:lncRNA from 1 species